UGUGGGGCCGGACAGGCGGCCCUUUCACUCUUUCCAGGCGGGGGGAAUCCUCCCCAGCCCACCUCCUUCACUCCGAUCCCUGCUUUUGGAGAGUGGGGUUGAUCCCUAAAGUGACCCCUCACCGAGCUUACGGAACCAGCUGGACCAUCUGUCGAGAGACUUGGUGACAGUGGAUGAUUGCUGUACUACACGACCCACAAGACAUUUGACGGGAGGGAUACUUGGAAGAUAAACGGAAAGACGAAGAUUAAAGGCUGAAUCGGCUCGUGUGCCCCAACCUUGUAGACCUUCGUGGAGAGACUGGGAGACGUCCAUGACCCGUGGCCCUUCCUCAGCGGUGACGCACCAUUUCUCCGGUCACCUCUGGAACAAUCCUGGUUACGGCCGAGAUGCCAGGAGCUUCCUCUCGUGUGAGUCCUCUCUGAAGGAGAUGGCAUCCCCGGGACCAGACCUUGAAGUUCCCAGUGAUGGGUUCCGGCUCCUACAGGUAGCUCGGGGCCCAAGGGUCUGAUAACGCUGACAGGAGUGCUUUCAUCGGCCACUGCCAAGACUGCAGACCCCGAAGCCCCUGGACUCGUCUCUCCAGCACCACUUUGGAGUCGCCCCUUUCUCGAGGACUUGGCUCCGUGGCACCGGCUACCCUCCCAUCAGCACCCAGACAUGUCCUCUUUCAUUUUUUAAUCCUCACCCGAGGAUAUUUCCCCGCUGAAUUUUAGAGAGAGUGGAAGGGAGGGGGAGAGACAGAGAGAAACAUCGAUGUGAGAGAGACACAUCCAUUGGUCGCCUCCCACAUGCACCCCAACUGGACUGGGGGCGGGAUCAGACCUGCAAACAAGGUACGUGCCCUUGACCGGGAAUCAAACCCAAGACCCUCCCGUGCACAGGCCGAUGCUCUAACCACUGAGUAACGCCGGCCAAAGCCAUCAAAAACUCGUGAGCCUCACAAGUGUCCAGUGAUGAACGUAUCAAGGACAGGCUGUGUGACGUGGAAACAGGUCACAGAGCUGGAGAUAGGAGCUAAGCGUUAAAUUGGGGGCAGAGCUGGGCAGGAACUCAGGUUUUCUUCUAGCCGCAGUACACCAGGAUGUUUUCUCUACCUCUGCCCCUCCCUGCCCCUCCUCUAUUAUUUCUCUUAAUGAAAGAAAGGCUCAGAUUUGGGACCAAUCGCCUUUGUAGUCAUAGAGUCGGUUAAAACACAAGCAAAUGAAAAACUGCGACAGACCAGGCCAGAAGCAAAGCACCCCGCCCCAAUCUUUAUUCUAAAGAACCUUCUGGAAAUGACGGGGUCUAGGGGGAAGACCCACCUGGUUUUCUCUUCAUUGGUAUAAAUCUUUACCCGGUCGGCUGUAAAGCAGAAUCUGAAAUUUAGAAGAAAAGACCACAUUUCAGGAAGAAUAAGGAAAAAAAAAAAUCAG